CCAGACUCCUACGGGAGGCAGCAGUGGGGAAUAUUGCACAAUGGGGGGAACCCUGAUGCAGCGACGCCGCGUGGGUGAAGGAGCACCCCGGUGCGUAAAGCCCUAUCGGCAGGGAAGAAACAGACGGUACCUGACUAAGAAGCCCCGGCUAACUACGUGCCAGCAGCCGCGGUAAUACGUAGGGGGCAAGCGUUAUCCGGAUUCACUGGGUGUAAAGGGAGCGUAGACGGCGACGCAAGUCUGGAGUGAAAGCCCGGGGCCCAACCCCGGGACUGCUCUGGAAACUGCGUCGCUGGAGUACGGGAGGGGCAGGCGGAAUUCCUGGUGUAGCGGUGAAAUGCGUAGAUAUCAGGAGGAACACCGGCGGCGAAGGCGGCCUGCUGGACCGUGACUGACGUUGAGGCUCGAGAGCGUGGGGAGCAAACAGGAUUAGAUACCCGCGUA
rnacentral:rRNA from 1 species